rnacentral:misc_RNA from 1 species
AUCAUUUGGUGGAAUGUAUCAUCUUACGAUACAGUAUGAUUUAUGUAUUACACCUUCUCAAAUAUCGUCAAGGGUAAGUCAACAUUCGGAUUUUAUUGUUAGAGUGUAGGCCAUAUUGCGAGGCUUCCCUUCAAUUGCACGACAUCAUGUACUCAUAUGCUGCAUUCUGGGGUUGAGUUAUGGUGCACAUGCUGCUCAACCUUGACUAAAUAGAUAUAAGGCUGUGCAUCUA